ensembl:lncRNA novel transcript
GCUGCGGGCGGCCUGACGGUGGCGGCAGAUGGCGGGGUUGCUGUCGCUGCUGUGGCCUUUCUUCCAGCGCUUCAACUUAGCUGAGACACCAGAAGGCAACUUUCCCGAGCGACCCAUGUUGACUAAGCCGUGGCGAGGAAUGAGCUUAAAUGACCGGCUUCCAGGGACGUAGAAACACGCUCAGAACCCACGUGGAUACCCUGUAGCCUUCACUUCCUCUUCUUCUGGCGUCACUUCCGGAUUCGUGUGCAUUACUAUGAACCUGAGUCUUGAGGCAUCAUCUGGGCUCAUGCCCUCUCUGAAACAUAAAUCCUGUACUCCACAGACACCAGCUGAGCCGGGAGAUCUGAACAUCAGGCAAUGAGUUUGCAAGAUGGUUUAACAACUAUGAACAUGUGGUGUCCUCACAGGAAUCCUGUGGGCUGAACAGCAGCCGCCCCUCCUUCCACCCAGCACAAAACUUGGUUUGCCCCGCUCACUCUAAAUCUGGGCCUUCAAUGAAUGUUCAGUGGAGUUCUUCUGUGGAAAAAAAUAAAUGGGAAAGGAAG